UACUGAGUCCGCCUUAUGACAGUC
rnacentral:siRNA from 1 species